rnacentral:rRNA from 1 species
UACAGAGGUGCCAAGCGGUGUUCGGAAUUACUGGGCGUAAAGGGCACGUAGUCGGCUUUGCAAGUCGGUUGUGAAAUCCCCGGGCUCAACCUGGGAACUGCAUUCGAGACUGCAUUGCUAGAGUAUGGGAGAGGGAAGUGGAAUUUCCGGUGUAGCGGUGAAAUGCGUAGAUAUCGGAAGGAACAUCAGUGGCGAAAGCGACUUCCUGGACCAAUACUGACGCUCAUGUGCGAAAGCGUGGGGAGCAAACAGG